GUAUAAAUAAAACCUAAAAGGGACGUCGACAUGCACAAUCGUUUCCACUUGAGCGGCACUCGAAAUAAGUAGGAAAACUCUUUGCUUUGCGUUGAUUUGAUUGCUAUGGCUCCUUCUCUUCCUCAGCCUUGGGAACUCCGUAUGGACGCUAACGGCUACGACAUCUAUUGGAAUCCUGAGACCAAAGUUGCUCAAUAUGAGCGACCUACUUACCCUCCACCACCUCGCAACUUUGCUCAAGUUGCUUGUACCAUCGAGUUUGACCAGGAAAAGCUGGUGCGGGAGCCGUUCUCCGUUCUACACACGAUAACAGGGUACUCUUCUAUUUGCGUCAGGGUCUUGGCAUUGCCACCAACAACGUUGCUGAGUAUCGAGCUCUCAUUCUUGGUCUCGAGUAUGCUCUUGACAAAGGCUUUCGAAAUGUUCGCAUCAAGGGAGACUCGUUGCUUGUCUGUAAUCAGGUUCUAGAUGAAUGGAGAGUCAACCACCCGAAAUUGGCGGAGCUUAAUGAAUAUGCCAAGGAUCUUAUGAGCCGGUUUAACUCAUGCCGUAUUCAACACAUUGGCAGGUUAUAUAAGGUGACAAUUAAAUAAUGGUUAAUGCUCAAGCUAACCGUGCGGUCAAUCUCGCAGAUGGUCAGAUUCAAUGCGAGUCUAGAGGGUGAAACGCAGGAAGAGACUGCAGGCGGCUUUAGAAGAAGGGAGUAAUAUGCAUAUUCCUUCCUGUUUUCUUGUUUUUGGGAUCAUGUCUUUUAGCAUGUGCUAUGUGUUAACAUAAACAUGAACGCGAUGAUCCUCUCUCUCUCUCUCUUUUGCUUUGUUCCACUUCCCAAUAACAUACGUCUCUGUCGUCUACUUGUUAUUCUA